rnacentral:lncRNA from 1 species
CUUCAGGACUCCUAGGUAGAACUGCACUUCAGCAAUGGGAAUGGGAGCAGCAUUCCAGCCUCCGUCUCUAUUUAUAAUGGUGACAUGGGGGAAAAAUAUACUGCUGGAUGCCCAGCAUGAAUCUGGACAAAGUAACUGCAAGAGUUCUCACUGUGACAGCCCACCUCACUCCCAGACACCACAAGAUACCAACAGAGCUGAAAUAGACACCCACAGCUUUGGUGAGAAAAACAGCACUCCGAGAAAGAUUAUAUUGAGAGAAGAGAAGUUGAAAGUAUCUUGAAGAAAGAGUCAGAUUGGAUAUGGGAUUAGUCAAGUCGGCAGAAAAUAUUCCCCCCAAGGAGUUGCUUUUUAAACACCUGAAGCGCACAGCUACUCUCAGCAUGAGAAACACAAGCGUUAUGAAGAAAGGGGGAAUUUUCUCAGCAGAAUUUCUGAAGGUUUUCCUUCCAUCUCUGCUACUGUCUCAUCUGCUGGCCAUUGGCUUGGGGACCUACAUUGGAAGGUGUCUGACAACUUCCACUAGCACCUUCUGA